rnacentral:tRNA from 1 species
GCCCGAGUGGCGGAGCUGGUUGACGCAGCGGUCUCAAACACCGUGGCCCGUGAGGGCGCUGAGGGUUCGAAUCCCUCCUCGGGCA